CGCCCAUGUGAAAGGUGAGAGGAGCCCCGAUCUGAACAUGGGAAGCCAGAUUUGAAAUUCUUUUUUUUGCCUUUCGUGGAUUCAUGGAUUCGAAGGUAAAUUGAUGAGCCUUGCAGAUGCAUCAUAUGGUUCGUGGAUUCAGUGAUUCCGUGAUUGGUGUGACACUGAUUUGUUUGGUGACAAUCAUCCAACAGAAAUGGACACCAUGCCUCAACUAGCCACUGCCGCAUCCAAGAGGAAACCCUCCCCGGCGGCAGCGACGCAAGACGCGGAAGGAAGCGGUGGACGCACGAGUGGCUGUACGAGGCGAGGCCAGUGAUGGAUAGGUGCCAGCACACCGUUCAUCCUCUUUUAGUUGUUCUAUGAUGUUAUACGUAGAUUAUACACAUUGCGUUCUAGCUGAUUACUUCGCACACAUGCAACGAUCUGAAGGUAUAUGCAUAUUUAUGUUUCUCAGGUAAGUCAUAUACAUGUUUUAGUGCUGAUCGUGAUAGCUCACUUUUUUUUCUUCCUGAAUUCCGAUAAUUUAAUCUAUACUAAACACUGUAUAAGUGUUUCAUAUAGAUUUUAGGUAAAGGACCAUUCAGCAUAAAUGGUCAGCUAUAUCCAAAAGAAUGAAUAAUAGAUUUUAGGUAAAGGACAUAUUUGUAUGGAUGCAUUUAUAAAUUAUUCUAGAGUUUCAUCUUUCGU